rnacentral:tRNA from 2 species
GCCGUCGUAGCUUAGUGGUGGAGCACCCGGCUGUUAACCGGGCGGUCGCCGGUUCGAAUCCGGCCGACGGCG